CCACGGGUGGCUGCAGUGAGGAAUAUUGGUCAAUGGGCUUACGCCUGAACCAGCCAAGUCGCGUGAGGGAAGACUGCCCUAUGGGUUGUAAACCUCUUUUGUCAGGGAGCAACGCCGGCUACGUGUAGCCGGACUGAGAGUACCUGAAGAAAAAGCAUCGGCUAACUCCGUGCCAGCAGCCGCGGUAAUACGGAGGAUGCGAGCGUUAUCCGGAUUUAUUGGGUUUAAAGGGUGCGUAGGCGGAAUGCCAAGUCAGCGGUAAAAUCGCGGGGCUCAACCUCGCUCCGCCGUUGAAACUGGCGUUCUUGAGUGGGCGAGAAGUAUGCGGAAUGCGUGGUGUAGCGGUGAAAUGCAUAGAUAUCACGCAGAACUCCGAUUGCGAAGGCAGCAUACCAGACUGCGACUGACGCUGAAGCACGAGAGCGUGGGUAGCGAACAGGAUUAGAUACCCCAGUAGUC
rnacentral:rRNA from 1 species